AGGACGAACGCUGGCGGCGCGCCUAAUGCAUGCAAGUCGAGCGACGCACACCGGAGGGGUAACCCAUCGGUAUGACGGAGCGGCGAACGGGUGAGUAACACGUGAGCAACCUGCCCCACAGACCGGGAUAGCCCAGGGAAACUUGGAUUAAUACCGGAUAUCCUCGAGGAACCACAUGGCUCUUUGAGGAAAUGCCUUUGUGCUGUGGGAUGGGCUCGCGGCUUAUCAGCUAGUUGGUGGGGUAACGGCCUACCAAGGCAUCGACGAGUAGCUGGUCUGAGAGGACGAUCAGCCACACUGGGACUGAGACACGGCCCAGACUCCUACGGGAGGCAGCAGCAGGGAAUCUUGCGCAAUGGGCGAAAGCCUGACGCAGCGACGCCGCGUGGGGAUGAAGGCCUUCGGGUUGUAAACCCCGUUUCGAGGUAGGACGAAAUUGACGGUACCUCCGAAAGGAACGCCCCGGACCAACUACGUGCCAGCACGCCGAC
rnacentral:rRNA from 1 species